CCAACAAAUCGAUAACAAGCUGAAAGGACUUCCGACGCUAGGUCACGAGACAAGCAAACCUGAAGCAUCGUCGCUGACAGAUGAUAAGCCUAGCUGUGAAAUUCAGUGUGAAAGGGGGCCGAUUGGAAUGAAAGGUGAAAGGGGACCUAUUGGAAAGACAGGUGAACAGGGAGUACA